UCACCCCUGUAGCCAGUUUUUUUUGCUUUAUGCUGAACUCGUGUUAAAUACAUCAAAGAGUUACUGCUGUAGCUCCACCAACUGGUGCAGCGUAACUACACAAAACAAUUUUUCAGCUACAAGAUGGAAUACCAGGAAUACUCCCAAUAUCCUGUCCAUUACUGUCUUGCCCACGAGCAUCAGGAACCUCCUCCAGAUGUCUCUGCUCUUGGAACUCUGAACGCGCAACCUCCAUGCCUGCAAAUCAUGUUUUGGCCAACAACAGGACUCAUCCUGUGUUGUUUUCUUUUCCCAUUCAGUCAUUACUGCGAUAUCAGAAAGUGCUGAGGCAUCACAGAUUUUGUUACGCUCCUCCUAACUCACAAAUUCACCUGUUGAAAUUAUAUGCCCUCUUUUUUUUAUUUUUCUUGCAAGACACCAGGGGUAUCUUCGCCUGUGGGGAGACAUCGUAAAAUGCUGGAAAACUUCUGAGUCAGUAUCUUUGAAUUUUGCUUAAAGAUGGAAACCUUGCUUACCAGAAGUGAUUGUAAGAAGAGAAAGUCUUGUUGGAAAAAUUCUUUGGUUUUAUUUAUCACAAUUAUCUGUUUGCAUUCAGACCCGAUAGGUGAUUAACAUUUGCCCACUGCUCCUCUCAGAGAGGUAUUAGAUAAUGUUUAAAAUCAUACAUCCCCCAUGUGCUAUUUCGACCAGUUUAGUAGCAAAUAGAAGAGACAUUCUAUGUUCAUAGGUAUUUUGAUACAAUUUUUAAUUAUGUUUUUCCAUCUACAUUCUCCAUGGUAAUAUUUUACCUUCAGAAAAAAAAAGUAUGGUAGGAUGCUAUUUAUUUAUUUGCAAGUUCUAUGAUCUUAACCUUUCUUAUUGCUGCUGUUUUUUUAAAGACUCCCCCAUUGGCCGUACCAUCCUUUGUGUGUAAGACAAAAAAACCCACUGUAAACUGUGGAAGGUUGAGUAGAAUUGCAAGUUUUAUCAAGAAACACACAAGUAGAAAUACCCCGUAAGCAGCACGUGAUCAGGUUUAGAAAAUCUUGCUGCAGCACAGAUGUUCACAAAGGUGGACUUUCUGUACCUGUAUAACUGAAAUCUCGACUGUCUUUCAAACAAAUUCUUACAGUGAAGGGAGAUGUUACCUGUUAUACCUGAAAACUUUGCUUCCGUGCAUUAUUCCCAUGAUUGAAUGGGCCUGGAUGUGGAACCCUAACUGCUUAUCUACCAGAACACCUUUGAAAUGGAUUCAUCUUUCUUCAGAGAUAAUGGAAAAUUUCUCUUGCUGCUAUGUCCAGGAGUACUUAUUCAGUAUCUUUUGGGGGGAAGAAAAAUACAUCUGUCUACUUCUAAAAUACCAUGUCAAAGUUGGUAAAUAUUUGUUUCCACUCUCAGGGAUCUGAACACUGAGGGUCCUACAAGCCGCUUCUGUUGGGUUUCUUGCAUUUGUUUGUUUUUUUUUUUUUUUUUUCUGUGGUAAAAUUUCAUCAGUUAGUUUGCAAAACUAUCUUUAGGAAUCUGAAAAGGGCAUUUUCUGGUUUUAGAGUCUGGAAUUCUUUGUUCCCAGAAGCAACAUCCUGUACGUAUUGUAUUUAAAUACAUUAUUGUGAUGUAACCAAAUUUAUGGGUGGGAGUAUUCUGUUACUGAAAAAUGUGCCAUUAAAGAGUAAAGAGCAAUAGCAGUAGCCUUUAUGGUAGAAGAAGCUGAGAGAGAACUGGUUAACGCACCAGGUGCUGGUCAGCAGACUUGCUGCCUGACCUGAAUUACAAAAUAUUUUUUCUAUUAGAAAUUAUGUAAGGAUAUUGGCAGUGUAGCAGAAUGAAACUGAGCACUUUUUUUCUGUCACUAUAGAAUGAAAAAUCAAGGAACGUAAGUCACAAUUAGACCUUGUUAACUUUUAACAGGUUAAUGCUGUCUGUAUUUGCAAUUUUGUAUUCGUGAACUUCCCACAAUAUUAUUUGUAUGUCUUCACUAUAUUUAGAUUUUGAUAACUUUAAUAUUAAAAUAAUUUGAAAUAUAUUA